rnacentral:lncRNA from 1 species
GGACGUCGGGCCGGUGGAUCGGUCGACGUAUCGAUAGAAGGCUUCGGGCCGUGGACUCAGGCAUCGGGCCAAGAAGAGCGGGUAUUGUGCCAAGGAUAUCGGAGUUGCGGAGUCAACUGGCCGAUUGGGCAAUAGACUGUAGGAAAGGACGAUGCGCCGAAGAAUCGGACGAAGCGUCGAGGGACCAAUGACAUGCCGGACAACUUGGUUAAUUGCUUAGGAUUAAUUGUCUC